GACGAACGCUGGCGGCGUGCUUAACACAUGCAAGUCGAACGGAAAGGCUCCAGCUUGCUGGAGUACUCGAGUGGCGAACGGGUGAGUAACACGUGGGUAAUCUGCCCUGCGCUCUGGGAUAAGCCUGGGAAACUGGGUCUAAUACUGGAUAUGACCUUUCUCCUUAUGGGGUUUGGUGGAAAGUUUUUCGGUGUAGGAUGAGCCCGCGGCCUAUCAGCUUGUUGGUGGGGUGAUGGCCUACCAAGGCGACGACGGGUAGCCGGCCUGAGAGGGUGAUCGGCCACAUUGGGACUGAGAUACGGCCCAGACUCCUACGGGAGGCAGCAGUGGGGAAUAUUGCACAAUGGGCGGAAGCCUGAUGCAGCGACGCCGCGUGAGGGAUGACGGCCUUCGGGUUGUAAACCUCUUUCAGCAGGGACGAAGCGUAAGUGACGGUACCUGCAGAAGAAGCACCGGCUAACUAUGUG
rnacentral:rRNA from 1 species